CACGUAGGGUGCGAGCGUUGUCCGGAGUUAUUGGGCGUAAAGAGCUCGUAGGCGGUGUGUCGCGUCGGCCGUGAAAACCUGCAGCUUAACUGUGGGCUUGCGGUCGAUACGGGCAUCACUGGAGUUCGGCAGGGGAGACUGGAAUUCCUGGUGUAGCGGUGAAAUGCGCAGAUAUCAGGAGGAACACCGGUGGCGAAAGCGGCGCGCUGGAUCCCUACUGACGCUGAGGCACGAAAGCGUGGGGAGCGAACAGG
rnacentral:rRNA from 1 species